rnacentral:rRNA from 1 species
AGAGUUUGAUUAUGGCCUCAGGAUGAACGCUGGCGGCGUGCCUAACACAUGCAAGUCGAGCGAUUCUCUCGGAGAAGAGCGGCGGACGGGUGAGUAACGCGUGGGUAACCUGCCCUGUACACACGGAUAACAUACCGAAAGGUAUGGCUAAUACGGGAUAAUAUGUUUUUGAUCGCAUGGUCGAAAUAUCAAAGCUCCGGGCGGUACAGGAUGGACCCGCGUCUGAUUAGCUAGUUGGUGAGGUAAUGGCUCACCAAGGCGACGAUCAGUAGCCGACCUGAGAGGGUGAUCGGCCACAUUGGAACUGAGACACGGUCCAAACUCCUACGGGAGGCAGCAGUGGGGAAUAUUGCACAAUGGGCGAAAGCCUGAUGCAAGCAACGCCGCGUGAGCGAUGAAGGCCUUCGGGUCGUAAAGCUCUGUCCUCAAGGAAGAUAAUGACGGUACUUGAGGAGGAAGCCCCGGCUAACUACGUGCCAGCCGCUGC